rnacentral:lncRNA from 1 species
GCGAGCUUUUGCUGUCGGAGUCAGCUUCGUGGGAGGUCGGAACUUUAGAUCCGUUCUUGAGGCUCCUUUGGUGGGUUUGGCGGUACCAGGGUAGUAAGGUGGAGUGCGCUUGGGAUUCGUGUCGACCCUCCUUCUCAUCUGUUCAGAUCGCCGGAAAAAGUUUCAAUUUUUUGUUGAUCUAGGGUUUUUGGGCCUGAGCGUGACGGCGUAUGGUUCUCUGCUUCUGGGCCUUGGUCGAUCCUCUUGCUGAUUAUCGGCGGGUGCAUGUAAGGGGCUACUCUCUCUCUCUCGAUGUAGUCGCCCGAGGCUUAUUGGCUCAUGUGGCAGCGCGUUGUUGAGCCACGAGGCUGUAUCCGCGUCUCAUAGUGGUCUCUGUCACCUCUGCUUGGUUCUGAGUUGUGGCAG